rnacentral:rRNA from 1 species
UACGUAGGGUGCGAGCGUUAAUCGGAAUUACUGGGCGUAAAGCGUGCGCAGGCGGUUCGUUAAGUUCGUUGUGAAAGCCCCGGGCUCAACCUGGGAAUUGCAUUCGAGACUGAAUAGCUAGGGUACGGUAGAGGGAAGCGGAAUUUCCGGUGUAGCGGUGAAAUGCGUAGAUAUCGGAAGGAACAUCAGUGGCGAAAGCGGCUUCCUGGACCAGUACCGACGUUCAGGCACGAAAGCGUGGGGAGCAAACAGG